GAUGAACGCUGGCGGCGUGCCUAAUACAUGCGAGUCGAGCGAACAGAUGAGGAGCUUGCUCCUCUGACGUUAGCGGCGGACGGGUGAGUAACACGUGGAUAACCUACCUAUAAGACUGGGAUAACUUCGGGAAACCGGAGCUAAUACCGGAUAAUAUAUUGAACCGCAUGGUUCAAUAGUGAAAGACGGUUUUGCUGUCACUUAUAGAUGGAUCCGCGCCGCAUUAGCUAGUUGGUAAGGUAACGGCUUACCAAGGCGACGAUGCGUAGCCGACCUGAGAGGGUGAUCGGCCACACUGGAACUGAGACACGGUCCAGACUCCUACGGGAGGCAGCAGUAGGGAAUCUUCCGCAAUGGGCGAAAGCUUGACGGAGCAACGCCGCGUGAGUGAUGAAGGUCUUCGGAUCGUAAAACUCUGUUAUUAGGGAAGAACAAAUGUGUAAGUAACUAUGCACGUCUUGACGGUACCUAAUCAGAAAGCCACGGCUAACUACGUG
rnacentral:rRNA from 1 species